GAAGGCCAAACCCACUCCAGGUCUAUUCUUCCUGUGAGGAGGAGUCAAUGCAAAGCAUCUUCAUCCUACUUAUGUGACUGCAGAGAGGAUGACAGAGACUAGUGGACACACAGUUUAACAUGAUGGACUUGAGGACACCAUUGUUGAUUCUGACCAUUUUGUGGGCAGGUGUUGAUGGUCAGACUCUGACUCAAUCUGAAUCAGUCAUUAAAAGACCUGGAGAAUCCCACAAACUGACCUGUACAGGUUCUGGAUAUACCUUUGGUGACCACAGCAUGGACUGGGUCAGACAGGCUCCUGGAAAAGGACUGGAGUGGGUUGCUUAUAUCAGAUAUGACAGUGCUAACAUCUACUACUCUCAGUCAGUUCAAGGCAGGUUCACCAUCUCCAGAGACAACACCUUACAGCAGGUGUAUCUGCAGAUGAACAGUCUGAAGACUGAAGAUUCUGCUGUUUAUUAUUGUGCUCGACACCCACAGUGA